rnacentral:rRNA from 1 species
CCUACGGGGGGCUGCAGUGGGGAAUAUUGGACAAUGGGGGGAACCCUGAUCCAGCCAUGCCGCGUGUGUGAAGAAGGCCCUCGGGUUGUAAAGCACUUUCAGUGAGGAAGAACGCCUGGUGGUUAAUACCCAUCAGGAAAGACAUCACUCACAGAAGAAGCACCGGCUAACUCCGUGCCAGCAGACGCGGUAAUACGGAGGGUGCGAGCGUUAAUCGGAAUUACUGGGCGUAAAGCGCGCGUAGGUGGCUUGAUAAGCCGGUUGUGAAAGCCCCGGGCUCAACCUGGGAACGGCAUCCGGAACUGUCAAGCUAGAGUGCAGGAGAGGAAGGUAGAAUUCCCGGUGUAGCGGUGAAAUGCGUAGAGAUCGGGAGGAAUACCAGUGGCGAAGGCGGCCUUCUGGACUGACACUGACACUGAGGUGCGAAAGCGUGGGUAGCAAACAGGAUUAGAUACCCCUGUAGUC